UCAGGAUGCAUGGGCCGCACAUCGGUGUCAACCCUUCGGCUUGGCUGGGACCACCUGGGUUGGCCAGCAACUUUGACGGAUGCAAUCCAGAAGAGGAAACAAUAUCUCUGUUGACAGCCACUGCUCUUGGCCUGAAUUCGUCAAACAAAACCCUGGCAAGGUCAUCCUGUUAUCCUCCUGGUGCCCUGGGAAAACGGAGAUUACCAGGGUCAACUCCGACCAACGCUCCCGAGACUCGAGCCUUCUGGCUGCGUGACUGGUGGUUACCCACACUGCACAGGAAAAGACAAAUCCUCGCUUUUUAAAUGUACCUGACAUUGUAAUGAGCCUGACAUUGUAAUGAGCCAUAGUAAGGUAGACGUUAACAGUGGGGGAAACUGAGUGAGAACUCUACUAUCUUUGCAACUUCUCUACAAAUCUAAAAUGAUUCCGAAUGAGUUUAGUUUAGAGAAAUAGACCCACAACCUGGAGGUAUAAAUACUUCCCAAAGGAGUAUACAGCAAGUGACUCCUGUCAUCCUGUCCCUCCGUCCAUCCCUAAGUUGGCCACAGGCAGCACUGUGCCUGCCAGCAUGUGUCACGCUGCCAGGGAUGCAGUCUGUGCAGGGAGGAGGAAAUAAAGUGGCUACGUAAUAAUGGAAGGUGGGCCCUGAUUUCCACUGGAGGCUCAAGGAAGGCUUUUCAGAAAAAAUAAUACGCACAGAUUUUAACUCACCGAUGUAUGAGUGUGCAGUGAAUUGUAAAUGGCAAGAUGGUAUGCGUUGAGACUAGCUUAGAUUGGUGGUAUAUCUUUCAGCUUGACUAUGUCUUUGCCAGAUAAGGAUCUUUAAUAAAAAAAAAAAAAUUUAUGGGGAUGCCUGGCUGG